rnacentral:lncRNA from 1 species
GAAGGGAUCAGAGCACACUAGGAAAGGUAUUCUCAUGGUGGUCUUGGUGUGUGCUGUGGGGUGGGGUGCUUGCUGAAGUAGGGAAGCACAGGGCUUUGGCUCUAUCCCACCCCAUUACCAUCUCCUAAGAGCAUCCCACCUCACCAAAGGCUCCCACUCAAGGAUACCUGGGAAAAGAGCCCUUGCUUUCUGAAGAUAAAGGGAUGUGAGGACAUAGAGACUUAUGGUUUGAUUCUCAUGAGCUCGAAAAGAUCUUAGAAAAAGAGAAGGCUAGAACUGGAUCUUUCCUAGAGAUGGAGACAGGCCUAGACUAGGAAAGGCCUUAAACUAAACGGGUUACUUAUUUUCCUUUUGAAAACUACUCCCUGCUCUGUUGACAACUUCACCAAUCACAGGUCCAUUUUCUCUGCAGAGGGAGGAGGGUCAACACAUCACAUGGGUUGGUUAAUCUCUAACCUCUGCUAAUUUGCUUGUUUGCUUGUUUAAAGCGGAGUCAUUUGCAAAGAGACUCUUUUCUCCAGGAUCUCUCGGAGAAAGGAGGGACGAAAACCUAGAGCUGUCGGUGGCCAGCUUGGCUUAUCUGAGAAUUAAGCUAAAGGAGAAAUGCAGAGGAAAGAGGGGAGGCAAAGACAGAAUCCUUGGAUCCAGUCACACGGACUGAGGAUAAUCAAGAAAGGGUACAGAUCCAAGCGCAAAGGCUCAGAUUC